GUCCAAAGGCAUGUUUUCCAAGAUCUUUGUACCGAUCGAAACGAACUCCCGGCACACAUUCAUGGAGCUGUAUCAUUUGCCACAUUGUGUGUAAGGUUAUACACCAUGAUAAGAUCAUAACGGCCGUCCCCGGACCCCUGAUGGACAAAGACAACUUUACUUCAACCACAGUAAAUAAAUCCUUUGAAGACAUAAUUAGGGACUAAAAGUAUGCUCCCUCUAAUAACUUAGGUUUUUUAAAAUGAGUUGAUCGCACAGUUUCAAUAUGGUAUCAAAGCAGACAAAACAGUCAAUUAAAAGUAUCUAGCCAACACGUGAGAAAGCAUUUUGUACCGAUCGAAACGAACUCCAGGCACACAUUCAUGGAGCUGUAUCAUUUGCCACAUUGUGUGUAAGGUUAUACACCAUGAUAAGAUCAUAACCGCCGUCCCUGGACCCCUGAUGGACAAAGACAGCUUUACUUCAACCACAGUAAAUAAGUCCGUUGAAGACAUAAUUAGGGAAUAAAAGUAUGCUCCCUCUAACAGCUUAAGUUUUUUAAAAUGAGUUGAUCGCACAGUUUCAAUAUGGUAUCAGAGCUGACAAAACUGUCAAUUAAAAGAAUCUAGCCAACACGUGAGAAAGCAUGUUGAAGACACAAUUAAGUAUAGAAGUGGCUCUCUUUAACGACUUAAGCUUUUAGACGGGAUAAUCACACAAUUCAAAUCAGUAGAACAAUUUUUAGGAUAAAUCCAACUUAAGUUUUAUUUUUGGGUUAUUCAAAUAAAUAACAACUUAAGUUUGCUUCCAUGUGACCAAGAGGUCAUGGGCUCAGCCGUGGAAACAGUCUAUUGCAGAAAUAGGGGUAAGGCAGCAUAUAAUAGACCCUUAUGGUCCGACCCCUUCCCGGAUCCCACAUAUAGCAGAAGCUUAUUACACACAUACCAUCCUAAGUAGGCCAUGGCAUAAGGCAAGCUAAGAACACCAG
rnacentral:lncRNA from 1 species